rnacentral:rRNA from 1 species
UUUGAUUUCCUUCGGGACUGAUUAUUUUGUGACUGAGUGGCGGACGGGUGAGUAACGCGUGGGUAACCUGCCUUGUACAGGGGGAUAACAGUUGGAAACGGCUGCUAAUACCGCAUAAGCGCACAGAGCUGCAUGGCUCGGUGUGAAAAACUCCGGUGGUAUAAGAUGGACCCGCGUUGGAUUAGCUAGUUGGUGAGGUAACGGCCCACCAAGGCGACGAUCCAUAGCCGACCUGAGAGGGUGACCGGCCACAUUGGGACUGAGACACGGCCCAAACUCC